AUGGAUUUAGGUCUCAUAUUGGUUUCCUUUGUCCUUACUUUGAAAGGUGUCCAGUGUGAGGUGCAAUUGCUGGAGUCUGGGGGAGGCCUAGUGCAACCUGGAAAGUCCCUGACACUCUCAUGUGCAGCCUCUGGAUUCACCUUCAGUAACUACUGGAUGAUGUGGGUCCGCAAAGCUCCAGGGAAGGGGUUUGAGUGGAUCGGAUUCAUUAAUCCAGAUGGUGGUAACACCUACUAUACCGAUGCUCUGAAGGGCCGAUUCACAAUCUCCAGAGACAAUGCCAAGAACACUCUGUACCUGGAAAUGAGCAGUCUGACGUCUGAGGACACAGCCAUGUAUUACUGUACAAGAGACACAGUGAGUGAAUACUACUGUGAGCUCACACAAAAACACCCCUGUGGGUAA